CGGGGGAGGCCGGAUCCUGGGCUGUGUCCCGGCGCCCUGUGUCCCGGCGCCUGCGCUGGUGGAUUCGCGCUCCCGGGCCGCGCAACCCCCU
rfam:Canis lupus familiaris chromosome 4, whole genome shotgun sequence.